GUCCCUGUAGCGCAAUGGAUAGCGUGUUGGACUUCUAAUGCAAAGGUCGUAGGUUCGAUUCCCACCUGGGAUG
rnacentral:tRNA from 1 species